GACGAACGCUGGCGGCGUGCUUAACACAUGCAAGUCGAUCGGAAAGGCCCUGCUUUUGUGGGGUGCUCGAGUGGCGAACGGGUGAGUAACACGUGCGUAACCUGCCCUUGACUUUGGGAUAACUUCAGGAAACUGGGGCUAAUACCGGAUAGGAGCUCCUGCUGCAUGGUGGGGGUUGGAAAGUUUCGGCGGUUGGGGAUGGACUCGCGGCUUAUCAGCUUGUUGGGGGGGUAGUGGCUUACCAAGGCUUUGACGGGUAGUCGGCCUGAGAGGGUGACCGGCCACAUUGGGACUGAGAUACGGCCCAGACUCCUACGGGAGGCAGCAGUGGGGAAUAUUGCACAAUGGGCGGAAGCCUGAUGCAGCAACGCCGCGUGCGGGAUGACGGCCUUCGGGUUGUAAACCGCUUUCGCCUGUGACGAAGCGUGAGAGACGGUAAUGGGUAAAGAAGCACCGGCUAACUACGUGCCAGCAGCCGCCGCAG
rnacentral:rRNA from 1 species